CCUAGAAGCAAGUUUAAAAGGAUCAAACCCCAAGGGAAAAAAUGAAGAAAAUUUCACAUCAUAAUCAAAAUGCUUAAAACUGGUCAAAAAGGGGUGGGGGACACAUUUUGCAGGGAGAAACAAAUAUAGGAAUUGUAGCAGACUAUUGUUUUUUUGGAAACAGUAUGAAUCAGUAGAGUAAUAUAUUUAAAAUAUCUUUAAAAUACUGGAAGAAAAUAACAUCAACCUUGAAUGGUAUAGCCAGUAAAAAAUAUAUUUCAAUAGUAAAUGUGAAAUAUUUAUCCAAAUAUACAAAAAACGAAAUCAUCACUAGCAGACAUGUAAUUUUAUUUUCAUUUAUUUAUAUUUAAACACACUUUUCUUGAUAAAUGUAUCUUUUUUUAAAGGAAUGGACUUUGAGGAGGAAGAAAACAUGCAGCAGAGAGGUACCUGUCCAACUAGCCAACAUAUUCAACACUGCACAAGAUGCUAUGCAUAUUGUAACCUCAGGCUGCUUAUUCCUUCACAUCAAAUUCAUGACCAGAUACACCAUUUGCAGCUGUGUCCAUUGGGAAUAUUCCCCGUCACCAGUGUCUUUAACGGCUACCCUGGAGUGAGGUUGUAGUACCUGGUACCUGUAAUACCUGAUUGAUAAUACCAGGUAAUGAAAAAUCAUUGUUGCCUCUAUGAUGAAGGGUUUACAGUAUUAUCACCUUGGAUCUGUAUCAUAUUCUGCAGGAUAUUCAGAUGAUUGGAGUCUUUUGGAAUUGUGAUAGAGAGCAGAUUAGUACAUACUGUUCAAAGUGAAAGCACAUCACUUCUGCU
rnacentral:lncRNA from 9 species